rnacentral:rRNA from 1 species
CUAAGCGUACACGGUGGAUGCCUGGGCAGUCAGAGGCGAUGAAGGACGUACUAACUUGCGAUAAGCGCAGAUAAGGCAGUAAGAGCCGUUUGAGUCUGCGAUUUCCGAAUGGGGAAACCCAACUGCAUAAGCAGUUACUGUUAACUGAAUACAUAGGUUAACAGAGCAAACCGGGGGAACUGAAACAUCUAAGUACCCCGAGGAGAAGAAAUCAACCGAGAUUCCGGUAGUAGCGGCGAGCGAACCUGGAUUAGCCCUUAAGCACUCGGUGAAGUAGGUGAACAAGCUGGAAAGCUUGGCGAUACAGGGUGAUAGCCCCGUAACCGACGCUUCAUCGAGCGUGAAAUCGAGUAGGGCGGGACACGUGAUAUCCUGUCUGAAUAUGGGGGGACCAUCCUCCANGUGGCUUUCGGAGCUAACGCGUUAAGUAGACCGCCUGGGGAGUACGGUCGCAAGAUUAAAACUCAAAUGAAUUGACGGGGGCCCGCACAAGCGGUGGAGCAUGUGGUUUAAUUCGAUGCAACGCGAAGAACCUUACCUACUCUUGACAUCCAGAGAAUCUAGCGGAGACGCUGGAGUGCCUUCGGGAGCUCUGAGACAGGUGCUGCAUGGCUGUCGUCAGCUCGUGUUGUGAAAUGUUGGGUUAAGUCCCGCAACGAGCGCAACCCUUAUCCUUGUUUGCCAGCACGUAAUGGUGGGAACUCCAGGGAGACUGCCGGUGAUAAACCGGAGGAAGGUGGGGACGACGUCAAGUCAUCAUGGCCCUUACGAGUAGGGCUACACACGUGCUACAAUGGCGUAUACAGAGGGCAGCGAUACCGCGAGGUGGAGCGAAUCUCACAAAGUACGUCGUAGUCCGGAUUGGAGUCUGCAACUCGACUCCAUGAAGUCGGAAUCGCUAGUAAUCGCAAAUCAGAAUGUUGCGGUGAAUACGUUCCCGGGCCUUGUACACACCGCCCGUCACACCAUGGGAGUGGGCUGCAAAAGAAGCAGGUAGUUUAACCUUCGGGAGGACGCUUGCCACUUUGUGGUUCAUGACUGGGGUGAAGUCGUAACAAGGUAGCGCUAGGGGAACCUGGCGCUG